UGGCGGUUAACUCCACAACACGAAAAGACCAAACAAAACAAAGCCAUCACAGGGAACAUUCAGACACAGAAGCAUCUGCAGAGAGUUUACUCAAACUGAUUCCUGAAACUGGAUUAGAUAUAAGUUUGGAAUUUUUACUUUUUUGAUCAUGCAGGAUCUCAAAGGAAACAGUCUUUGCAAAACCAGCAGAAUCAGCUGACAUGGGAGGAAUCCUCACUGGCCACGGCUCUGUGCAGCACCACCUGAUGGUGGGUUAAAAAUCCCGCACAGUGAGGGCGGGGGGAGAUGCCCUGUCCUGUUGUGGAUCAACUCUCAGUGUCCUGAGAACAUGGUCGAGGGGAACUCCUUGAGCUGUAAUGGGAAUUUGAUGGGAACAGUUACGAUGAUCUUCUGGGCAGUAUCCAAAUAGACUGAACAAUAUUAUGAGUAGGGGGCCUCUCUCUCUCGCUCUCUCUCUCUCUUCUCUCUUGCUCUCUCUCUCGCGAACAAGAGUCCCAGUAAAGUGCUGCAUGGCCAAAGAAUGUGUAGAUGGGCUGGCAUGUUGUAAAAGUAAUGGUGUUGAGCUGGAGUCAAACUGAAUGUACAACAGAGUGUGAAACCUGACAGAGGGGUAAUGUGAGAGACAGCAGUUUGUCAUAGUGAUACUGGCAUAUGGAAGGAAAAUAGAAGAUGUUUGGCUAAAGAGAAAUGAUCGAUAAGUGUUUAUCCAAACGCAUCAAACGGUAUGCUGUAAUUUCAAGUACUUGAUCACAUUGGUAAAAGUUCAAAUGUUCCAUGUCAGUGAUCCCUGCCAUUUCUUUUGCAGCAUCACAAACAACAAGAUACAAAGAGAUACACGAGGAAAAUGACACCAAAGAAACUUCACAAAACAACUUCACCCCAGAUUUGCAAUCUCCAUCUCAGAUUUUGAUGUUAUUGGUUAGCAAUGAUGCAGUUGCAAGAGAAAAGAAGAAGAGGAAGAAGGAGGAGAGGAGGGGGAGAGAGAGAGAGAGAGAGAGAGAGAGAGAGAGAGAGAGAGAGAGAGAGAGAGAGAGAGAGAGAGAGAGAGAGAGAGAGAGAG